rnacentral:rRNA from 1 species
UACGUAGGACGCAAGCAUUAUCCGGAAUUACUGGGCGUAAAGGGCACGCAGGCGGUUUGGUAAGUCCGGUAUGAAAGCUCCAGGCUAAACUUGGAGAGGUGACUGGAGACUGCUGAACUAGAGUGGGGAAGAGGGGCGUAGAAUUCCGCGUGUAGUGGUAAAAUGCGUAGAUAUGCGGAGGAAUACCAGUGGCGAAGGCGACGCUCUGGUCCCCAACUGACGCUGAGGUGCGAAAGCAUGGGGAGUGAACGGG